rnacentral:rRNA from 1 species
GUCCGAAUGGGGAAACCCAGUAGGUGAAGAACCUACUAUCACCCAGUGAAUACAUAGCUGUGUGAGGCAAACCGGAGAACUGAAACAUCUAAGUACCCCGAGGAAAGAAAUCAACCGAGAUUUCGUUAGUAGCGGCGAGCGAACGCGAAAGAGCCAGUUAGUGAUAGCAGUGAAGUUAGGGGAAUGUUCUGGGAAGGACAAUCGUAGAGGGUGAUAAUCCCGUACCUUAAAACUUCAUUGUGGUACUAGGCUAACAACAAGUAGGGCGGGACACGUGAUAUCCUGUUUGAAGAUGGGGGGACCAUCCUCCAAGGCUAAAUACUCCUGAUUGACCGAUAGUGAACCAGUACUGUGAAGGAAAGGCGAAAAGAACCCCGGCGAGGGGAGUGAAAUAGAACCUGAAACCUUGUGCGUACAAGCAGUGGGAGCAGAUUUAUUCUGUGACUGCGUACCUUUUGUAUAAUGGGUCAGCGACUUAUAUUUUGUAGCAAGGUUAACUGAAUAAGGGAGCCGAAGGGAAACCGAGUCUUAACUGGGCGUGUAGUUGCAAGGUAUAGACCCGAAACCCGGUGAUCUAGCCAUGGGCAGGUUGAAGGUUGGGUAACACUAACUGGAGGACCGAACCGACUAAUGUUGAAAAAUUAGCGGAUGACUUGUGGCUGGGGUGAAAGGCCAAU